rnacentral:rRNA from 1 species
CCUACGGGUGGCAGCAGUGGGGAAUAUUGCGCAAUGGGCGAAAGCCUGACGCAGCGACGCCGCGUGAGGGAUGAAGGUCUUCGGAUUGUAAACCUCUGUCAGCAGGGAAGAACGGUCACUGUGCUAAUCAGCAGUGAAUUGACGUUACCUGCAAAGGAAGCACCGGCUAACUCCGUGCCAGCAGCCGCGGUAAUACGGAGGGUGCGAGCGUUAAUCGGAAUUACUGGGCGAAAAGGGCUCGUAGGCGGUAUGUCAAGUCAAGGGUGAAAUCCCCGGGCUCAACGUGGGAACUGCGUUUGAAACGGAGAGACUGGAGUGUAUGAGAGGUAGGUGGAAUUCCAGGUGUAGGAGUGAAAUCCGUAGAUAUCUGGAGGAACAUCAGUGGCGAAGGCGACUAGCUGGAACGUAACUGACGCUGAGGAGCGAAAGCGUGGGUAGCAAACAGGAUUAGAUACCCCAGUAGUC